rnacentral:rRNA from 1 species
CGCGUAGGCGGAUUAGUAAGUCAGAGGUGAAAUCCCGGGGCUCAACCCCGGAACUGCCUUUGAUACUGCUAGUCUUGAGUUCGAGAGAGGUGAGUGGAAUUCCGAGUGUAGAGGUGAAAUUCGUAGAUAUUCGGAGGAACACCAGUGGCGAAGGCGGCUCACUGGCUCGAUACUGACGCUGAGGUGCGAAAGUGUGGGGAGCAAACA